rnacentral:rRNA from 1 species
CCUACGGGAGGCAGCAGUUAGGAAUCUUCGGCAAUGGGCGCAAGCCUGACCGAGCGACAAUGCGUGGAGGAUGAAGGUUUUCGGAUUGUAAACUCCUGAACUUGGGACGAUAAUGACGGUAGCAGCCUAAUAGCACCGGCUAACUCCGUGCCAGCAGCCGCGGUAAUACGGAGGGUGCGAGCGUUAUCCGGAAUCACUGGGCGUAAAGGGCGGGUAGGCGGUUUGCUAAGUCCGAUGUUAAAGCGUGGGGCUCAACCCCAUCCCGGCGUUGGAUACUGUCAAGCUUGACGGCUGGAGAGGAAGGUAGAAUUACCAGUGUAGCGGUGGAAUGCGUAGAUACUGGUAGGAAUACCCAUAGCGAAGGCAGCCUUCUGGACAGUUAGUGACGGUGAGGCGCGAAAGUGUGGGGAGCAAACCGGAUUAGAUACCCGGGUAGUCCACACCCUAAACGAUGCAUACUUGGUGUUGGCCCGUUGGGGUCAGCGCCGCGAGCUAACGCGUUAAGUAUGCCGCCUGGGAGACGUCCACGGUGC